AGAGCUCAAAUUUGAAAGCUGGCCCCCUCGGGGUCCGCAUUGUAAUUUGUAGAGGAUGCUUCGGGAGCGGUCCCCAUCUAAGUGCCCUGGAACGGGCCGUCAUAGAGGGUGAGAAUCCCGUAUGGGAUGGGGUGCCCGCGCCCGUGUGAAGCUCCUUCGACGAGUCGAGUUGUUUGGGAAUGCAGCUCUAAUUGGGUGGUAAAUUUCAUCUAAAGCUAAAUAUUGGCCGGAGACCGAUAGCGCACAAGUAGAGUGAUCGAAAGAUGAAAAGCACUUUGAAAAGAGAGUUAAACAGCACGUGAAAUUGUUGAAAGGGAAGCGCUUGCGAUCAGACUCGCUCGCGGGGUUCAGCCGGCCUUCGGGCCGGUGUACUUCCCCGCGGGCGGGCCAGCGUCGGUUUGGGCGGCCGGUCAAAGGCCCCUGGAAUGUAACGCCUCUCGGGGCGUCUUAUAGCCAGGGGUGCCAUGCGGCCUGCCCGGACCGAGGAACGCGCUUCGGCUCGGACGCUGGCAUAAUGGUCGUAAGCGACCCGUCUUGAAACACGGACCAAGGAGUCUAACAUCUACGCGAGUGUUCGGGUGUCAAACCCGUGCGCGCAGUGAAAGCGAACGGAGGUGGGAACCCCUCGGGGUGCACCAUCGACCGAUCCUGAAGUCUUCGGAUGGAUUUGAGUAAGAGCGUAGCUGUUGGGACCCGAAAGAUGGUGAACUAUGCCUGAAUAGGGCGAAGCCAGAGGAAACUCUGGUGGAGGCUCGCAGCGGUUCUGACGUGCAAAUCGAUCGUCAAAUUUGGGUAUAGGGGCGAAAGACUAAUCGAAC
rnacentral:rRNA from 1 species